CAAGUCGAACGGGACUCUUCGGAGUCUAGUGGCGGACGGGUGAGUAACGCGUGAGAAUCUGCCUAGAGGAUGGGGACAACCACGGGAAACUGUGGCUAAUACCCAAUGAGCGGAGACGUCAAAGAUUUAUCGCCUCUAGAGGAGCUCGCGUCUGAUUAGCUAGUUGGUGGGGUAAAAGCCUACCAAGGCGACGAUCAGUAGCUGGUCUGAGAGGACAACCAGCCACACUGGGACUGAGACACGGCCCAGACUCCUACGGGAGGCAGCAGUGGGGAAUUUUCCGCAAUGGGCGAAAGCCUGACGGAGCAAUACCGCGUGAGGGAGGAAGGCUCUUGGGUCGUAAACCUCUUUUCUCAGGGAAGAAGAAAGUGACGGUACCUGAGGAAUCAGCCUCGGCUAACUCCGUGCCAGCAGCCGCGGUAAUACGGAGGAGGCAAGCGUUAUCCGGAAUUAUUGGGCGUAAAGCGUCCGUAGGUGGCUCUUCAAGUCUGCUGUCAAAGAGCGGGGCUUAACCCUGCAAAGGCAGUGGAAACUGAAAGGCUAGAGAGCCGUAGGGGUAGAGGGAAUUCCCGGUGUAGCGGUGAAAUGCGUAGAGAUCGGGAAGAACAUCGGUGGCGAAAGCGCUCUACUGGACGGUAUCUGACACUGAGGGACGAAAGCUAGGGGAGCGAAUGGGAUUAGAUACCCCAGUAGUCCUAGCCGUAAACGAUGGAUACUAGGCGUGGCUUGUAUCGACCCCGAGCCGUG
rnacentral:rRNA from 1 species